AGCGAACGCUGGCGGCAGGCCUAACACAUGCAAGUCGAGCGGAUGACGGGAGCUUGCUCCUGGAUUCAGCGGCGGACGGGUGAGUAAUGCCUAGGAAUCUGCCUGGUAGUGGGGGACAACGUUUCGAAAGGAACGCUAAUACCGCAUACGUCCUACGGGAGAAAGCAGGGGACCUUCGGGCCUUGCGCUAUCAGAUGAGCCUAGGUCGGAUUAGCUAGUUGGUGAGGUAAUGGCUCACCAAGGCGACGAUCCGUAACUGGUCUGAGAGGAUGAUCAGUCACACUGGAACUGAGACACGGUCCAGACUCCUACGGGAGGCAGCAGUGGGGAAUAUUGGACAAUGGGCGAAAGCCUGAUCCAGCCAUGCCGCGUGUGUGAAGAAGGUCUUCGGAUUGUAAAGCACUUUAAGUUGGGAGGAAGGGCAGUAAGCGAAUACCUUGCUGUUUUGACGUUACCGACAGAAUAAGCACCGGCUAACUCUGUGCCAGCAGCCGCCGUAACAC
rnacentral:rRNA from 1 species